rnacentral:lncRNA from 1 species
UGAAGGGAAGAGGUGACUUCUAGUACAUACUAAGAUAAACUGAAGGGAAGAGGUGACUUCUAGUACAUACUAAGAUAAACUGAAGGGAAGAGGUGACUUCUAGUACAUACUAAGAUAAACUGAAGGGAAGAGGUGACUUCUAGUACAUACUAAGAUAAAUAUGAUAUGAACUCCAUGGCCACACGUGAUCAUUAACAACACAGUGGCAGCAAAAGCCCCAAAAGAGGUGGAAUAACAGGAUGUAGGAAGAAAGUUGGAUACAUAUCACAGUCAUUACAUUACAACUAAGGUAGGAUAGACAACCACAUAUCACAGUCAUUACAUUACAACUAAGGUAGGAUAAACAACCACAUAUCACAGUCAUUACAUUACAACUAAGGUAGGAUAGACAACCACAUAUCACAGUCAUUAUAUUACAACUAAGGUAGGAUAGACAACCACAUAUCACAGUCAUUACAUUACAACUAAGGUAGGAUAGACAACCACAUAUCACAGUCAUUACAACUAAGGUAGGAUAGACAACCACAUAUCACAGUCAUUACAUUACAACUAAGGUAGGAUAGACAACCACAUAUCACAGUCAUUACAUUACAACGAAGGUAGGAUAAACAACCACAUAUCACAGUCAUUACAUUACAACUAAGGUAGGAUAGACAACCACAUAUCACAGUCAUUACAUUACAACUAAGGUAGGAUAGACAACCACAUAUCACAGUCAUUACAUUACAACUAAGGUAGGAUAGACAACCACAUAUCACAGUCAUUACAUUAC